GACGUAGGGCGCGAGCGUUGUCCGGAUUUAUUGGGCGUAAAGAGCUCGUAGGCGGCUUGUCGCGUCGAAUGUGAAAUCUCAGGGCUCAACUCUGACAUUGCAUUCGAUACGGGCAGGCUAGAGUUCGGUAGGGGAGACUGGAAUUCCAGGUGUAGCGGUGAAAUGCGUAGAUAUCUGGAGGAACACCGGUGGCGAAGGCGGCAUCCUGGACCGGUAUUGACACUGAGGCGCGAAAGCCAGGGGAGCAAACGGG
rnacentral:rRNA from 1 species